rnacentral:lncRNA from 1 species
AUGGAAACGACGGUUCUGCUUUACCGGAGGCCGACUUGAAGCAAGUCUUUCUGACCCAUCUACAGAAAAAGAGAGAUUAAUUCUCUCCCUGGUCCCCCUCUUCCUUCCCUUUCCUCUCUCCUUUCUCUGCCCCUCCAUAUACCCUUGUAUAACCACAGGUAAGUAUAUAAAAUGUUUUGUGGGUACCAUCAUUGAUGGUAACUGCCAGAUAUUUCCAGCAUUCGCCUCCAUCGCCUUUGGUAGGUCUGAGGAUGGAACUCGGGUCUUUAGGCUUUGUGACAAGUAACUUUACCUGCAAAGUCAUCUAGACAACAAACAGAUGAAAGAAAAAAAAAAAAGAAAGAAGGAAAGACUGGACACACUUGAAGCUGAGAUUUCAUAAAACAACAGUAUUCUAAGAGACUACACUCUUCAUUCUUCCCUAGAAAUCUAGACGAUGCUUCUGCUAGCAAACGUCAUAUAUAAAGUCAAAACGUCAAAUAAAGUGUUGGGACCU